rnacentral:rRNA from 1 species
GUGAACGCUGGCGGUAGGCCUAACACAUGCAAGUCGAACGGCAGCACAGUAAGAGCUUGCUCUUACAGGUGGCGAGUGGCGGACGGGUGAGGAAUACAUCGGAAUCUACUUUUUCGUGGGGGAUAACGUAGGGAAACUUACGCUAAUACCGCAUACGACCUACGGGUGAAAGCAGGGGAUCUUCGGACCUUGCGCGAUUGGAUGAGCCGAUGUCGGAUUAGCUAGUUGGCGGGGUAAAGGCCCACCAAGGCGACGAUCCGUAGCUGGUCUGAGAGGAUGAUCAGCCACACUGGAACUGAGACACGGUCCAGACUCCUACGGGAGGCAGAAGUGGGGAAUAUUGGACAAUGGGCGCAAGCCUGAUCCAGCCAUACCGCGUGGGUGAAGAAGGCCUUCGGGUUGUAAAGCCCUUUUGUUGGGAAAGAAAAGCAGCAGGUUAAUACCCCGCUGUUCUGACGGUACCCAAAGAAUAAGCACCGGCUAACUUCGUG